rnacentral:rRNA from 1 species
UACAGAGGGGGCAAGCGUUGUUCGGAAUUACUGGGCGUAAAGGGCGCGUAGGCGGCCUUCUAAGUCGAACGUGAAAUCCCCGGGCUCAACCCGGGAACUGCGUCCGAUACUGGAAGGCUUGAAUCCGGGAGAGGGAUGCGGAAUUCCAGGUGUAGCGGUGAAAUGCGUAGAUAUCAGGAGGAACACCGGUGGCGAAGGCGCUCAUCUGGCCCGAUACUGACGCUGAGGCGCGAAAGCUAGGGUAGCGAACGGG